rnacentral:rRNA from 1 species
GUGGAUUAGAUACCCUGGUAGUCCACGCCCUAAACGAUGUCGACUAGUUGUUCGGAGCAGCAAUGCACUGAGUAACGUAGCUAACGCGUGAAGUCGACCGCCUGGGGAGUACGGCCGCAAGGUUAAAACUCAAAGGAAUUGACGGGGACCCGCACAAGCGGUGGAUGAUGUGGAUUAAUUCGAUGCAACGCGAAAAACCUUACCUACCCUUGACAUGCCAGGAACCUUGCUGAGAGGCGAGGGUGCCUUCGGGAGCCUGGACACAGGGGCUGCACGGCUGUCGCCAGCU